rnacentral:pre_miRNA from 1 species
ACAACAACAUUCGGACCGUCGGUCUACCGAGCAAUAUCACCCGCUCGGUGGAAGAUCUUCCCUUUGUCAUAUAUU